AGGGACUCUCAACCCUAAGCACAUACUUCUCCUUCCAUCUGGAACAUUCCUUACUGCCUUUCUUAACCCCAACUUCUGUCUGAUUAACUCAACCCUACAUACUAUGUAUAUAUAGACGGAGAGGAGAGAGAAGGGGAAGCGGCACACGGAAUAGAUCUACAGAGAGGAAAAGAUGAAAGGUCUGCCUACUACAUCAGCUUUCCUCCCUCCUCAUCCUCAAGGUCACCUGUCCCCUGCUCAGCCAUUUGCUUAUCAAAGCUUCAGCCAGAGCCAACUAUAUAGAAGCCAAGAGGGAAGCAAAUACAAAGAGGAGGAUUUACUAGAACUGCAGUGUGAAUGCAGCAGAAGGGGAAACACUCACACAAUUUCAUCAUAGAGCACUUCCAUCAGCAUCUCCCCAAGCAUGUCAGACAUCUUGCUUAGAGCACCACUGCUCCUAAGCCACUGCCAGGGCCUCAUCUGUCUACCGCACUGGAUGCACCAACUUGCAAAGGGAUCUCAAACAUCACAGAAGAGUGCUCCUCUCCACAAAACACUCACGGUCCCAAACGUUUUGAGGUGCGGUCGAAGAAAAAAAUUCUAGCACAGCGAAAUCAAUAAAAGGGAGUCCAACAAGUGGCAUCUGGUGGCUCAGUCAGUGAAGCGUCUGCCUUCCGCUCAGGUCAUAAUCCCAGAGUCCUGGAAUUGAACCCUGUAUUGGGCUCCCUGCUCAAUGGGGAGUCCGCUUCUUCCUCUGCCUCUGCUCCUCCACUCUGCUUGUGCACUUUCUCUCUCAAAUAAAUAAAUAAAAUCUUAAAAAUAAAUAAAUAAAAAAGAGUCCAAGGAGAGGAUAAAUGAAGCGGCAAAUGUUAGGAAAUUUGGCACAUGAACAUAAAGGUCUCUAUGGGGUACCACUCAAGAGUUAGCAUGUGCAUCACAUUCUCCCUGUCGCCUUAUGUGCAUUCUUUCCUUUAAACAUCACCAAAUCCCUGCGAAUCCCAGACUAUCGUUACCUCCAUUUUAUAGAUGAAGAGAUGAUGCUUGCAGGGGUUAUUGUUCAAGGUCAAACAGAGAGGAAGCCUUGGGUUCCUUGGUUCUAGGGCAGGGAGGUCUGCCUUAGAAGGUCACAUGACCAUGCUCAGAAGAAGUCAUUUCCUGCUUAUCCAUAUAUUUGACGAAUUACAUUACUAAUGUUUGUGAGAAUGCAAGUGAAUCCUUCCACGUAACAUACACAACUUUCUGGGGAGCUGCAGUUUCUGCUCAAGCACGUUUUGCCCCCGCAGCACUCCUUCUUGUGUCCAGUAUGUAUUGUUUCAGAUUUCUCUUAGCGGUGUUAAUUCUAGCCCAUCUGUUUAAUGAUACAGUGUGAUCUCAAGAGCCUUCUACUCAGAUGAGUAUCUCUGAAUGUCUAUCAGCAUCCCUACAUUUUUUUUCUACAGAUGGCAGGGGCCAUCAUGGCCUGUACUAAAAAGAGAAAGCAUUUGUAUCUGAUUCAGUUAGGAUUUCACACCAUUUUUUUUUUUUUUUUAAUUUAAGACAAGGAGGGAGAAGUGAAGUUUCCAACCUAGCAAACACAGCUGAACCGACUUCUGUUCUACCGGUUGUGUUACAGUCCUUCUCCCUCUAGUGUCCCUGGCUUAUUACUGCACAUUUUGGGCAGCUCAAUGACACUCUUCUGGAUUGCUCCUUUGCUUCUGUGUUCAGUGGGCACUGCCACUGUAGCACCUCCUGUGGGCUCAGCGCCACAAUCCAGGAUGCCAGCCACACAGAAGGGUCCGGUGCCCUGGGGACGCGCUCUCACACCAUGACAGGCAUGAGGGUCACCCCAUGGCCCAAGAGCAUUCUCACCCUCUUUCCUAACUCUGCAGCUCCCUCUGACUUCGCAUCACCUCCAG
rnacentral:lncRNA from 1 species